AUUGAACGCUGGCGGCAGGCCUAACACAUGCAAGUCGAGCGAGUGGCGGACGGGUGAGUGAUGUAUGGGGAACUGCCUGAUAGAGGGGGAUAACUACUGGAAACGGUGGCUAAUACCGCAUACUAUCGGCUGAACCCAUAUGGGAUUAGCUAGUAGGUGGGGUAAAGGCGCACCAAGGCGACGAUCUCUAGCUGGUCUGAGAGGAUGAUCAGCCACACUGGAACUGAGACACGGCCCAGACUCCUACGGGAGGCAGCAGUGGGGAAUAUUGCACAAUGGGCGCAAGCCUGAUGCAGCCAUGCCGCGUGUAUGAAGAAGGCCUUAGGGUUGUAAAGUACUUUCAGCGGGGAGGCGUUACCCGCAGAAGAAGCACCGGAUAACUCCGUGCCAGCAGCCGCGGUAAUAC
rnacentral:rRNA from 1 species